rnacentral:misc_RNA from 1 species
CUUCAAUCUAUUGUUUAAUGCGUCUUCUACAAUAUAGCAACCUUCCAAAAAUAUUAUUCAUACUGUAAACCCUGAUGAGCUCUAUAUCCCAUCAUCUAUGCUUUUGACCAGUUCACUUGUAUGUGUUGAGUAUGAUGAAUCUAUUAGUAAAUAGAUUUAAAUGGCUACAGUUGGGGAUAAUGGAAUGCGGGUGCAUUAAAUGCAAUGUUAAAAUUUCAUAGGGAUGGUUGCAACUGGCUCAACUGCCUGCCUCUAGCAAAUUAUCUAUCCUGCUAUUUGAUAAAACAGCCCCUAGUCAGUGUCUAAGGCGGUGUCUGUAGCAGUGUGUUCUUGGGACGUUUCCAAAAACCACCACAAGCAUGUACCGGCGGUCAAACCUGCCCUACAAGCCCAAAAACAAUGCACGCAAAAGUCAAGUUCUUUGCGCCACAAGCCACCCAUCAAGGACAAAGUACGAAAUCAAAUUUAAGUUCUUACUUGACCUUACUAUCACUAUAGCUUGUGGAUUUACUGAUAGGCAUAUUCACUUCAUAAUAACUUGCUGUAAUUUUCUUCACCCAUUUCAGUUGUUGCUGUCGAAGGAGGCAUGGCCACUGGACCCAUUGCUUUUGCGAAACCUUCUGCUGAAGCCACCACGUCUGACUGUCCUUCUAUCUCCAUGUUAGAACCCGCUAUUGGAGAAGUUUCUGGUGGAACUCCAAUAAGCUUUCUGCGUUUGUUAUGCUUCUUCUUAAGCCCUCGUUGAGACAUUGUUGGAGCACCUGCAACCAUCGCUUUUGGGUGACCUUUCGCUGAAGCCGCGUCUGAAUGUUCAUCUAUCUCCUUGUUAGAACCCGCUAUGGGAGAAGUUUCUGGUGCAACUCUAAUAAGCUUUCUAUUUAUGUUAUACUUCUUCUUAAGCCCUUGUUGGGACAUUGUUGAAGCACCAGGUUUGUUUGAUCUCCUCUUCUUCUUCUUCUUUUCCUCUUAACUUUUUUCCUUUUUGUUGGCUGCUGGUCUGUAGUCUGGACAAGCUUUAAAAAAUAAACCCUAUCUUAUAUAUCCAGCGCCUUAACUCACUGAAGUGCGCCUCGAUGCGCCUUGCCCCUCAGUGCGCCUCUGUGAGGUGGUGCACAUUUCCUCUCCUGGGGCGCUAGGGCUGCGACUGGUGCGCCUUGCACCUGGGGCGCACCUAAGGCGCGCCUUUGAUACUCACAUUGUUGUAUAUUCAAUGAAUAAGUAGUCAAGAGACUAUCAGUUAAUAGAUUCAAGUAUAUACUUGCACCCGUUGCUUUUGGAAAAGUUUUUGUUAAAGCCAUGUCUGAUUGUUCUAUCUCU